UCCCCGGUAGCUCAGUUGGUAGAGCAAACGGCUGUUAACCGUUCGGUCGCUGGUUCGAGUCCGGCCCGGGGAG
rfam:Rhizobiales bacterium TMED83 151634, whole genome shotgun sequence.